GCCCCAACUGCUGCCUUCUGCCUUUGGGGCGGCCCCACACCGCAUCCUCAUCUCUGAAUCGUAGGGUCUGGAAGGGCCCUUCCAGCACAACCGCUGUGCUGGGAUCCCACAGUUCCGUGGUCUUUAGGGUCCUUUCAACCCAAACUGCGCUGGGAUCCCAUCGUUCUCUGACCACUAAGGCCCCGCUCAACACAGCCAGGCUGGGAUCCCAUUGUUUUAUGAUCUAUAGGAUCCCUCCCAACCAACCAUUCCAUGGUGUCCUGGUCUUUAAGGUCCCACUCAACCCAUCCAGCCGCGAUCCCAUGGUUCUAUGACCUUACAGCGUCCCUUCCGACCCAAUGAUUGGGAUCCCACAGUUCUCUUAUCUAUAGGAUUCCUUCCAACCAAAACUGUGCUGGGAUUCCACAGUCCCAUGGUCUUUAGGGUCCCUCCCAACCCAACAAUUCCACAGUUUCAUGGUCUUUAAGGUCCCGUCCAAUCCACCCACGGUUCUACAAUCUUAUAGGAUCCCUCCCAACUCAACCGUACUGCAAUCCCACGCUUCUAUUAUCUGUAGGGUUCCUUCCGAACCAACCAUUCCAUGAUUUUAUGGCCUUUAAGGUUCUGUCCAAUCCAAGUGCGCUGUCAUCCCACACUUCUAUGAUCUAUACGGCCCCUUCCAACCCAACCACGCUGCGACCCCCAUGGUUCCAUAACCUUUAUGGUCCCUCCCAACCCAAGCAGCCUGCAGGACUGCACCAGAAGUGCAGCACACGGCCGUUGCUCCCAUUGCUCCCAGGCCCAAAGAAGUCGAGGAUCACACAGUCUGUGCACCGCUCUGCUUACGGUGGGGGGGGGGGGGGAACACUGAAGGGAUUAUUUUCCCUCUCCUUUUUACAUCAGUUCAAACUCAGUGUGUUUGAGAGUGAUUUGUGAGCAAUCGGAGCCACUGCUUUGCAGCGCAGUCCGUGGGGUAUAUCCACAUUCACCCCUUGGAGUGAUUUGUUUGGCCAAAGAGCUUCCAUCGCCCCACUGCUUCGGAAGGGCAAAGGGAUCCCAUCAGACCCGGCCCCGAAAUACGCUCCAUUUCCAUUCAGGAUCCUUAGAAUUGGAAACAGCACAACAACCUGAGCCCCCAAAGCUGAGGGACCCUACGGCAGAAUGCUUGGAACACCCCUCAUGCUUUGCAGUGAUGCAAAACCCAAAGGACCAAUGCAGCAAACCGUCCCGUUAGCAAAGCAGUGAUGCAGAACCCAAAGCCCAGGGCAGCAAACCCACCCCACUGUCUUUGCAAUGGUGCAACACCCAAAGGCCCAACCCACACAUGUCCUACAGCUGCACCAGGUGCAGCAAACCCAAACCAUUGCCUUUGCAAUGGUGCAACACCCAAAGAGCUGACCCACAUAUAUCCUACAGGCGCACCGGGUGCAGCAAACACACCCCACUGACUGUGCAAUGGUGCAAAACCCAAAGGGCCGAUGCAACAAACCCACCCCACUGUCUUUGCAAUGGUGCAACACCCAAAGGAACGACCCACAGGUGUCCUACAGCCACACUGGGUGCAGCAAACACACCCCACUGCCGUUGCAGUGCUGCAGAAUAUCAAAGGCCAAUGCAACAAACCCACCCCAUUGGCUUUGCAGUGGUGCAACACCCAAAGGCCCAACCCACACAUGUCCUACAGACGCACCGGGUGCAGCAAACACACCCCACUGACGUUGCAAUGGUGCAAAACCCAAAGGGUCGAUGCCACAAACCCACCCCACUGGCUUUGUGAUGACCCAUAACCCAAAGGACCAACACAACAAACCCACCCUAUUGCCUUUGCAAUGGUGCAGUACCCGAAGAGCUGACCCACAUAUAUCCCACAGCCACACCGGGUGCAACAAACCCACCCCAGUGCCUUUGCAAUGGUGCAAAAUACAGAGGGCUGACCCACAACGUGUCCUACAGCUGCACCAGGUGCAGCAAACCCAAACCAUUGCCUUUGCAAUGGUGCAACACCCAAAGAGCUGACCCACAUAUAUCCUACAGACGCACCGGGUGCAGCAAACACACCCCACUGACUGUGCAAUGGUGCAAAACCCAAAGGGUCAAUGCAACAAACCCACCCCACUGUCUUUGCAAUGGUGCAACACCCAAAGGAACGACCCACAGGUGUCCUACAGCCACACGGUGCAGCAAACACAGCCCACUGCCAUUGCAGUGCUGCAGAAUAUCAAAGGCCAAUGCAACAAACCCACCCCAUUGGCUUUGCAGUGGUGCAACACCCAAAGGCCCAACCCACACAUGUCCUACAGACGCACCGGGUGCAGCAAACACACUCCACUGACUGUGCAAUGGUGCAAAACCCAAAGGGUCGAUGCCACAAACCCACCCCAUUGCCUUUGCAAUGGUGCAAUACCUGAAGAGUUGACCCACAUAUAUCCCACAGCCACACCGGGUGCAACAAACCCACCCCAGUGCCUUUGCAAUGGUGCAAA
ensembl:lncRNA